rnacentral:rRNA from 1 species
GCCGGGAACUCUAGGGAGACUGCCGGUGAUAAACCGGAGGAAGGUGGGGACGACGUCAAGUCAUCAUGGCCCUUAUGGGUAGGGCUACACACGUGCUACAAUGGUCGGUACAGAGGGUUGCGAGCUCGCGAGAGUCAGCCAAUCCCAAAAAGCCGAUCCUAGUCCGGAUUGCAGUCUGCAACUCGACUGCAUGAAGUCGGAAUCGCUAGUAAUCGCGGAUCAGAAUGCCGCGGUGAAUACGUUCCCGGGCCUUGUACACACCGCCCGUCACACCAUGGGAGUGGGUUGCAAAAGAAGUAGGUAGUUUAACCUUCGGGAGGGCGCUUACCACUUUGUGAUUCAUGACUGGGGUGAAGUCGUAACAAGGUAGCCGUAGAAUC